rnacentral:rRNA from 1 species
GACGAACGCUGGCGGCGUGCCUAAUACAUGCAAGUAGAACGCUGAAGGAGGAGCUUGCUUCUCUGGAUGAGUUGCGAACGGGUGAGUAACGCGUAGGUAACCUGCCUGGUAGCGGGGGAUAACUAUUGGAAACGAUAGCUAAUACCGCAUAGGAGUAGAUGUUGCAUGACAUUUGCUUAAAAGUUGCAAUUGCAUCACUACCAGAUGGACCUGCGUUGUAUUAGCUAGUUGGUGGGGUAACGGCUCACCAAGGCGACGAUACAUAGCCGACCUGAGAGGGUGAUCGGCCACACUGGGACUGAGACACGGCCCAGACUCCUACGGGAGGCAGCAGUAGGGAAUCUUCGGCAAUGGACGGAAGUCUGACCGAGCAACGCCGCGUGAGUGAAGAAGGUUUUCGGAUCGUAAAGCUCUGUUGUAAGAGAAGAAAGAGUGUGAGAGUGGAAAGUUCACACUGUGACGGUAUCUUACCAGAAAGGGACGGCUAACUACGUG